rnacentral:rRNA from 1 species
AGAGUUUGAUCCUGGCUCAGGAUAAACGCUGGCGGUGUACAUAAGACAUGCAAGUCGAACGGGAGAAGACAGGAAGAUUUAUCUACUUGUUGGACACCGUGGCGGACGGGUGAGUAACACGUAAGCAACCUGCCUAUAAGAGGGGAAUAACAGUGAGAAAUUACUGAUAAUACCGCAUAAGCUGGAGGUAUCGCAUGAUACAUUCAGAAAAGAUUUAUCGCUUAUAGAUGGGCUUGCGUCUGAUUAGCUAGUUGGUGAGAUAACAGCUCACCAAGGCGACGAUCAGUAGCCGGAUUGAGAGGUUGAACGGCCACAUUGGGACUGAGACACGGCCCAGACUCCUACGGGAGGCAGCAGUCGGGAAUAUUGCACAAUGGAGGAAACUCUGAUGCAGUGACACCGCGUAUAGGAAGAAGGUCUUAGGAUUGUAAGCUAUUGUCGUGUGAGAAGAAAAUGACCAUCACAGGAGGAAGCCCUGGCUAAAUAUGUGCCAGCAGCCGCGGUAAUACAUAUGGGGCGAGCGUUAUCCGGAUUUAUUGGGUGUAAAGGGUGCGUAGGCGGGAAAAUAAGUCAGUAUGUGAAAUCCCUCGGCUCAACUGAGGAACUGCAACUGAAACUAUUUUUCUUGAGUGUUGAAGGGGAAAGUGGAAUUCCUAGUGUAGCGGUGAAAUGCGUAGAGAUUAGGAGGAACACCAGUGGCGAAGGCGACUUUCUGGGCAACAACUGACGCUGAGGCACGAAAGUGUGGGGAGCAAACAGGAUUAGAUACCCUGGUAGUCCACACCGUAAACGAUGGAUACUAGGUGUUGGCAAUGAAUAAUUGUCGGUGCCGGCGCUAACGCAAUAAGUAUCCCACCUGGGGAGUACGACCGCAAGGUUGAAACUCAAAGGAAUUGACGGGGGCCCGCAGGUGGUGCAUGGUUGUCGUCAGCUCGUGUCGUGAGAUGUUGGGUUAAGUCCCGUAACGAGCGCAACCCCUAUGGCUAGUUGCUAACAUUAAGUUGAGGACUCUAGCAAGACUGCCGUUGUUAAAACGGAGGAAGGUGGGGACGACGUCAAAUCAUCAUGCCCUUUAUGUCCUGGGCUACACACGUACUACAAUGGGUAAGACAGAGGGAAGCGAAAGUGUGAACUGGAGCAAAACCCUAAACUUAUUCUCAGUUCGGAUUGGAGUCUGAAAUUCGGCUCCAUGAAGCUGGAAUUGCUAGUAAUGGCAGGUCAGCAUACUGCCGUGAAUACGUUCCCGGGCCUUGUACACACCGCCCGUCACACCAUGAG